CUCAGUAUUCAAUAGGUGCUGAGGACAUUGCUUAGAAAGACAAAACUACAUUGAAGACCUUCGAAAUGGUCCCAUGAGAAAGAAUCAAGAUUCCAGUAUAUCAAGAUCAAGUGGUUUUGAAGACUCAGCACAUAUGAUGGGACCAGUCCACACCCCUUACAGGUCUGUUAACCAAGGACCUAGGCAUAACCUCCACUGGACCCAAGGUUACCCACCACCUUCUCGGCAUUUCUACACCAAGACCCAGGAUUUUCAGCAGUCAGUAAGAACAUUUUCACAGAAUCAGAACGUUUACCAGAGAGGCCAUAUUCCUCCUCCUGGUCCCCCUGGAGAGAACUAUUUACAGAGGAGGUACUCUUGGAACGUAAAGCCAAAUGCCAGUCCAGCAGCCCAGAACAGAAGGUGGUAUCCUGGCAGUUACUACAGACUGCCCUACCCGGCCUAUUGUGGAUGGACGGAGUGACACAGACCUACCCUGGAGAUCUGUCUGGAGACACAGGACUGAAGACGGCUGGAGGGACUUUUUAUAAGAUCAGGUCAAACGAGGUUUAUAAUCUGUUAUUGCUCCCUG